rnacentral:rRNA from 1 species
CCUACGGGAUGCACCAGUGGGGAAUAUUGGACAAUGGGCGAAAGCCUGAUCCAGCAAUGCGCGUGAGUGAUGAAGGCCUUAGGGUUGUAAAGCUCUUUUACCCGGGAUGAUAAUGACAGUACCGGGAGAAUAAGCUCCGGCUAACUCCGUGCCAGCAGCCGCGGUAAUACGGAGGGAGCUAGCGUUGUUCGGAAUUACUGGGCGUAAAGCGCACGUAGGCGGCUUUGUAAGUUAGAGGUGAAAGCCUGGAGCUCAACUCCAGAACUGCCUUUAAGACUGCAUCGCUUGAAUCCAGGAGAGGUGAGUGGAAUUCCGAGUGUAGAGGUGAAAUUCGUAGAUAUUCGGAAGAACACCAGUGGCGAAGGCGGCUCACUGGACUGGUAUUGACGCUGAGGUGCGAAAGCGUGGGGAGCAAACAGGAUUAGAUACCCGGGUAGUC